GCCGGGGUGGUGAAAUGGCAGACACAGAGGACUUAAAAUCCUCUGGGAGGCAACUCCCGUGCGGGUUCGAGUCCCGCCCUCGGCA
rnacentral:tRNA from 1 species